GUCUUAAAGCGACAAACCGGACCGAGGGAGCUGGAGCAUCCCGGUGCCGAGCCCAUCCUCUCUGGAAGAUGGAUCUAUUCUCCUGGCGUGACCAUGUCACCAUCUCAGUCGUUCACCUUGUCCUCAGGUGGAGUUCAUGAGUGGGUGUAGAGGGAGGCGGUGAAGACGAUGUCCCGGCGGAUGGCCAGCGACGCCUUCUCCAUCUUGCUCCCCAGGACGGAGUCGCCCACGAUGCGGGCGGCCUGUCGCACCAUCUUCAGCACCUCGUCCAGGCGCUGGAUGCAGCGCACCACCGUGCCCUCCUGCACGUCCGUGAGCUGGGCGAUCUCGGCGAACGGCUGGCGGGAGAGCGAGGACGGGACGGGACCGGAGGAGGGGUGAGGAAGAGUGGGCUCUCUAAAAUAUUUUGAUAAAAAUAUCCAGAUGCAGGAUCACACCUGGUGUAAUGUGCAUCACAAAAGGGGUAAGACCUCACCAUGCCUCUGGCCCAGCAGUACACCACCUCUGUCAGGCCG